rnacentral:rRNA from 1 species
GACGGAGGAUGCAAGUGUUAUCCGGAAUCACUGGGCGUAAAGCGUCUGUAGGUGGUUUAAUAAGUCAACUGUUAAAUCUUGAGGCUCAACCUCAAAAUCGCAGUCGAAACUAUUAGGCUAGAGUAUAGUAGGGGUAAAGGGAAUUUCCAGUGGAGCGGUGAAAUGCGUAGAGAUUGGAAAGAACACCGAUGGCGAAGGCACUUUACUGGGCUAUUACUAACACUCAGAGACGAAAGCUAGGGUAGCAAAUAGGGA